CCAACGGCUCUUUUAAGAGCCACCCACAUUUCCCAGAAAGAGCUG
rfam:Alligator mississippiensis ScZkoYb_5, whole genome shotgun sequence.